UUAAACUGCUACACUCAUCGCAUGAGUAACAGUUACUCAUUGUCGAGCAUCGCUGCAAAUCCGGGAGAAUGUGUGAAAAUUAUGUGUACGUCUUACUCACGCCGUGAGCUGAUGACCAGUUACACAUUUUUGUGCUCCCUGAUCUUCCGGACCGGUGUUGACAAACGCUUCAAAAAGUGAGCGUCUGUCAAAUAUUUCAACAAAAAGAAAAAGAAAAAGAAAGCUUUUUCCUUGUAAUCAUUCCAAAUUGUAAAAGUUGCAUCGAUGGACGUUUAUUGACAAUAAUAAAUUGUCAUUGAAACAGGACUCCCGAUUCCCAAUGCUGAACCUACACGGAUUCCAGUGAAUGGGCUCAAGCGACGGCCGUAAAAAUAGUAAUUAUAAUAUAUAUAAUAAAUUUUGUAACUACAACUACUGUUUUUUUUUUAUUGAAAAACAUUUAAAAAUAAUAUUUAAGACAAAAUGAGUAACUAUCACACAUUUUCAGAGCAAGCGAAGCAUACGCAUUUAUGUGUAACGGUUACUCAUUCUUCCGGAAUGGUGACGAAACGCUUCAAUGUGUGAAGCUUACUCAUACUGCUUUGGCUCUCAAGCACUUGCUCAAAAAUGAGUAAGGCCCCCUUUGCUCACUUUAGGAGUGCCAUGGGAUGAAUAUAAAUUUGAGUAGAUCUUGCUCAUUAAUGAGUGGACCGACUUCUGCGUGAGGAUAGAUAGUUGGGUAAAGUGGAAGAUUGUGCAGGUUAAAAAGAACAUGUUUUGUUUGUGUUUCCGCGUUUCGUAUAAUGCUUGACCACAUACUUGUCACACGGGAUAAGGACACGACUCGACUCCGGACAAUCACCCAAAACGUCUCGGCGCUACAGAGGAGCUUUUUCAUGGACUCGAGGAGUGGCUAGUUCAGACGCAAUCAAGACGUGGUAGGUAUAAGGCUUCGGAAUCGGCUACGCAAUCUAUACACGCUUAAACUGCUACACUCAUCGCAUGAGUAACAGUUACUCAUUGUCGAGCAUCGCUGCAAAUCCGGGAGAAUGUGUGAAAAUUAUGUGUACGUCUUACUCACGCCGUGAGCUGAUGACCAGUUACACAUUUUUGUGCUCCCUGAUCUUCCGGACCGGUGUUGACAAACGCUUCAAAAAGUGAGCGUCUGUCAAAUAUUUCAACAAAAAGAAAAAGAAAAAGAAAGCUUUUUCCUUGUAAUCAUUCCAAAUUGUAAAAGUUGCAUCGAUGGACGUUUAUUGACAAUAAUAAAUUGUCAUUGAAACAGGACUCCCGAUUCCCAAUGCUGAACCUACACGGAUUCCAGUGAAUGGGCUCAAGCGACGGCCGUAAAAAUAGUAAUUAUAAUAUAUAUAAUAAAUUUUGUAACUACAACUACUGUUUUUUUUUUAUUGAAAAACAUUUAAAAAUAAUAUUUAAGACAAAAUGAGUAACUAUCACACAUUUUCAGAGCAAGCGAAGCAUACGCAUUUAUGUGUAACGGUUACUCAUUCUUCCGGAAUGGUGACGAAACGCUUCAAUGUGUGAAGCUUACUCAUACUGCUUUGGCUCUCAAGCACUUGCUCAAAAAUGAGUAAGGCCCCCUUUGCUCACUUUAGGAGUGCCAUGGGAUGAAUAUAAAUUUGAGUAGAUCUUGCUCAUUAAUGAGUGGACCGACUUCUGCGUGUACCGGUCGAACACGAACAAGUGGCCGCGUAAAGAUCAUCCCUGGCAGCGUCGCUGCCGUGGCGUCGGUUUACUGCACACUUAGAAUAAAUUACAGUAUUCGGUGAAAAAAAUCACCGAAACUGAUCUGUAAACAAGCAAACUACAGUAUUACGGCGAAAUCGAUGAAAUUGCAGGAGAAAAUCGGUGAAAUCUAAGAAAUCACCGAAGAACCGGUGAAAUCAGACAAAUUUACAGGAGACCUGUGAAUAUUUUACCGAACAGAUCGGUGAUGGGACUAUU